CGUGUAGGCGGCUUGGUAAGUCAGAUGUGAAAGCCCUGGGCUUAACCCAGGAAGUGCAUUUGAAACUGCCAGGCUUGAGUAGGGAAGAGGAAGGUGGAAUUCCUGGUGUAGAGGUGAAAUUCGUAGAUAUCAGGAGGAACACCGGUGGCGAAGGCGACCUUCUGGUCCUAUACUGACGCUGAGACGCGAAAGCGUGGGUAGCAAACAG
rnacentral:rRNA from 1 species